GGUGGGGGGGGACGGGACGACGCUUCAUGUACAAAGCCACCGACGGGUGUUAGAUUUGCCUUCAGCGACCUUACGAUCUUCCCGUAUAAAACAUCAAAGCACUCCUUUGCUUAAAGGUAAAAAUCACGGCACAAUUCAACCCUCUUUUCAAGGUCAAGACCUACCUUUAAUGAAUGAAGCCAGUCUGAAUGGAAAAACACUGGAUAAUAAAUGACUUUGAAAGAUAGGCCAGCCAAUGUCUAAUGUUGGACUAAUGCAGUACCUCCUGAUUAUUUGCUGGUGUUUGGUAUAUGACAAAUAGUCGACCACAGUGGCAAGAGCACUUUGACAACUGGAAGCUUUCAGCGCAUGCUCUCCCAAGGAAUCCUGGGGGUUGAAGUCUUAGCUAUAGAUGGCAUUUCACUCCUGCCUAUCCUGAAAGGAAGAGGGCUCUAAGGGGAAAAAGUACGCAAACACUCUUUCUUUCCAUGGAAAAUUGCUGCAAUCUGAAUCACCAGCUCUAAGAAAAUAAAUAUGUGUCAGAUUGAGCUGAACCCAAGUAACUAAAUAAGAGCUUUUAACAGUUUAAUUUAUUAACUCUGACCAAAUAGCUACCUAUUUGGAAGAGCAAUAGCUACACAAGAAAUAGUACCAGUAUUUCCAAACUUCCAGUAUAAGAAGUUAAUUAUAAGCCCAUACCAGCUAUAAAUUAUACAGCUAUUACAAAGGAGAUUGCAUCAUGUUGCUUAGCUGAAGAAAAUA